rnacentral:rRNA from 1 species
UACGGAGGGUGCGAGCGUUAAUCGGAAUUACUGGGCGUAAUGCGCACGUAGGUGGGGACGUAAGUCGGGUGUGAAAGCCCCGGGCUCAACCUGGGAAUUGCAUUCGAGACUGCAUUGCUGGAGUACGGAAGAGGAGGGCGGAAUUCCCGGUGUAGCGGUGAAAUGCGUAGAUAUCGGGAGGAACAUCAGUGGCGAAGGCGGCCCUCUGGUCCAGUACUGACACUCAAGUGCGAAAGCGUGGGGAGCAAACAGG